ACAAAAGAUUAACUAAUAAACUUUAUUAGACGAAAUUUUAUAUUAGAUUACAUAUUAAACACGCUAAUACUAUUAGACUAAUAAUUAUAUUAAGUUAACACACUAAAACUAGUGUGUUUACUUAAUUAAGUAAACACACUAAUAGUAUUAGCGAGUUUAAUAUGUAAACUAAACUAAAAUUUCUUGUAUUAAAUUUUAUUAGUUGUAUAAAAAACUUACCUAUUAAAUCUAACUUAUUUUGGUAACGUUCAGCAGCCUUUUUAGAUAACUUUUCUUGAUAAUCAUAAGACAUUUUCAAAGCGUUUAAGUAACGUUGUACUGAAAUCAACGCGUUUGUUUGCCCCCAUAUCAUAAUGGUAGAUAUUUUUAUUUUUUAAUUACGCAAUGAUCACGUGGUUUUUUCGCCGCAAGAAUAGCUAAACAUCAAAACCUGAUGUUUAACUUUUGAAUCGUAAACUGAGAGUCAAUGCAAUAUAAGAUUGCAAAUCAUGAAAAUGUCAACUGAGAAAAAAAAAGACCUAAUAAAAAAUCGGAAAUUAGAAGGGAUGACCCUUUGAUUGGUAAUGAAGUGUUGUGAAAUGGAGUUCAAACAAAUGGAAAAAUUAGAUUUGGCAACAAAAAAAUGGCAUCAUUUGUUUUUACCAUUUGUUUCUAAUUUAGUGCCAGAAUUUGAAUGCACAGCAAGUUACCAGCAAGUUACAUAAUUCAUAAAAAUAUUAUGAAUCCAUUGGGAAGUAUAUAUUUUUAUCAUUAAAAAUUUGCCCCUCUGUCUUUAAUUUUAUUUGCUUUGUAAGUAAAUGUUGCAUUUACUUACAGAAAUUCUAAAUGUUAUAUGUAAUUUGGUGUAUAGUUUCUUAAGAAUUUUAUUAACUUUAUUGUUUCAAGAUAAAGUUGUAUCCCCUAAAGAUAUACAGGUAUUAUUAGUACCAUGGGCAAACAUUGAAAUGCAACUUGGUAAACAACAAAACGCAUCAAAUUUAUUUAUAUUAAAAUUUGAGUAACAAAAAUAUGCUAUUUAAUGGUUUGCCUGAAUGAGUUUCGUUGCCAUUAAAAGCAGUGGAGAAUUCAAGUACUUUGGAAGAAAAAAGACAUGAAAAUAUUUAAACAAACGGCUAAAUUAUUUUGGACAAGCUGAAGUUAAGACAAUGGAGAUUGUAUAUGUUAUUUACUAAGAAUAUUAAGAACUUUUUUCAUAUAUCAAUUUUUUUAAAAAAAUUGAUAUAUGAAAAAAGUUAAUUGCAUAUGUUGCUAUUGAAGCUAUAGUGUCAAAUAAGCACGGCUUAUGCAGGCAUGUGAUAGAGAUGGUAGAAAAAAAGAUUAUAGUCGUGGGCACCAAAUAUCAUUAGCUAAACACGAUUCAAUAAAAAGUAGCUCAGCCAAUAACGAAACUACUCCAUAAAUUUUAUAGGGAUUUUUUUUAUUUAAAACUCAAUGUGUUAGUUUUUGGUUUAUGUUUGGUGUUUACAGUAUGUAUGUUUAACGGAGAAAUUAAGUAAAUUAAAUAAAUAAAUUUUUAUACUUG
rnacentral:lncRNA from 1 species